rnacentral:lncRNA from 1 species
UAUCUGUUAAUGUUUAACAUUUAAUCAACGAAAAAACAGAGCCAAUAUUGUGGUGGGGGAUUUGUCCUUCCAAACAAGCCUGGUCUCAGGUCACUCCAAGCAGUAGGAGAGGUAGGAUGUGUCUUCGCGCAAAGUCUUUUUUUCGAUCGUGUCACAGCGUGAUGGAGUGUUCGCUGGAACAGCGGUACGCGAUAAAGUUUUGUGUGCGACUUGGGAAGAAUGCAAUGGAAACUCAUCACAUGCUUCAAGACAACUUUAAGGAGGAAUGCAUUUCGAGAUCUCAGUGUGGAAGGAGGUCUGGAGAAUGUCACCGACGAGCCUUGUUCUGGACGUUCAACAUCAGCCUGACCUAAUGAAAACGUCCAUUGUGUGCGUGAAGUUUUGAAGUCAGAUAGUCGGUUAAGCAUUCAGGCAAUCGCUAACGCCCUGAACUAGUCAAAAUGUGUGGUACAUGGGAUUGUGAUGGAGGAUUUGCAAAUGCAAAAGGUCUGUGCGUAGCUUGUGCCAAAGGUGUUGACGGAGGAGCAAAAAGAAGUUCGAGUUUUGCGCAGUUCGAGAAUUGCUGGAAUUGAGUUGGUGCCCCAGCCUCCCUACUUGGCGCUGUGUGGCUUUUUUUUUUGCUCCCCCGACUGAAGGGAAAACACUGGGAGUCGGUGGAGAACAUCCAAGCUCAUGUUACAAGGUUCCUGAGAGGCAUUUCUGUCGAUGAGUUUGAGGGUGCCUUCCAGACGUGGCAGAAUCGUCUCCGCGAGUGUAUUGAUGCACAAGGGAACUAUUUUGAAGAAUUUUAACCAUUUGUACCCAUAGGAUCAAUAAAUCUAUUUUUCCCAGAAAAUGCGCAUUACUUUCAGAAUGCACCCUGUAUGCUUCAAUUUACGGAACAUACGUUGCAUUUUAAUUUGCAAAUCAUAUGUUGUACAUAAUUUACGUGAUCUGUAAGACUUGCUUUAUGUUUCAUGUCAUUUUAUUUACAGGCAACAUAUCACAAUUUAUAUAUGCCUGUUUUAAGAAACCAGGCAUAGUGAAUUAUUGUACUGUAAAAAUUUAAGCAAUCACGUUUUGAAAUUUAUCUAUUAUAAGGAAACUAUAGUUUUGUAAAUCUUAAGUUGUUAUCUGUCAAAAUAUUGUACUACAAAGAAAUUUAUUAUGUCCAAAAUACUUUACUGAUAUUCUGAGGUAUUGUGUUUUUAAAAUUAAAACAGACAUGCUUAAUAUUAGUUUUCAAAUUCUAAUAUGCUUCAUAAAUUUUUAAUGAAAAGUCCUACUGGUUCCAGUCUUUAAAAGUUUGCGUGUAUGCUAAUGUCAAUUAGAGAAUUUUUGCUAAUCUUCAAACUUAAUUAAACCACAAUGCAACUGUCAAAUCAUUUGUGUUGGUAGAUGUGAACAACAGAAAUUAAAAAAUUGCUAGAACUAUUAAACAAUGUGAAAUUGAUACAAUUAAUAUAUGCUUCAAUGUUAUAAAAUCUUGUUGACAUGUAUUUCAGCAUACUGACUGUUACUGAGUAGGUCCUUCAAAGUCAUUAAAAAAUCCUAACAGGAUUAUUAUUUUUUUUAUUUAUUUUGAAAAUUGAAUGGGAGUGAAUUUGAGGGUGGUAAAUUUUGAAAUUGAGUAAAUUUUGAAAAUUGAGAUUUUCAAUGAAUUCUGUAUUGAAACCUUCAUUGUUUAAGCGAAAGAAUUAAGCUAGUAUUUUUCGUAACCUCAUUUCUAUUGAAUAUUUGCAUAAAAAUAAGUGAUAAAAAAUAUAUUUUCUUAUAUAUUUAAUUUAUUAUUUUUAUUGAUUCUUUUUAAAAAUGCACAUUUUUAUAAUAUUUUAGAUAUUUUUAAAAAUUUAAUCUAUAGGUUUUGCUUCUUUAAUCAAUUUGAAUCAUGCAUGUGUAUUUGGUGUUUUGUAACAUUUAAGAAAUUGUUUUUUUGGCAUUUGUGUCAGUCUUGUUCUCUUCAUUUUAUUUCAUGUCUUAUUUUUAAUUAAAUAAUUUUUGACUUUCAGGUCUCUAAUCCAAGUACUGCUAAUGAUAAAAAAAUCUCACUGGCCACAUUGAUGUUUUCUUUGUUGAAUUUGGAUAUAAUAUAAAGGUUGGAGGAUAUCCUUUACUAUUAGAGGGUGACAGAAACAUACGUUACUACGAAAUAGUUAACGAACCACCCUGGUGUCAUUAUUUAUAUAAAGUUUUGACAGGCUUCCCGCUGCGGGGCCUCUGAAUCAUGCCCGAAAAAGGUCUGGAUGUUUUGCGAUGUGAAAUAUUUUGUUUCUACAAACUGCAUGCUGUCAAACCACUCUGUGAAACGAUUUAUAUGAUUGUGCCGAGAAAAUCUGAUCAAUUUCAAGAAGAUUUGUUCCUGACACUGCUGCACCUACUCCAUCACUUACAGCUAAAGAAUGGCUGAAUGGAAAAAAACAGAAAUCCUAUUCUGAUAUCCAUGUAUGUAGACUGGGGCUGGAGCCAGAACCAAUUAACCAGUGGUUUAUUACCUGGAUUGUCAGUACUGAA